ACGAACGCUGGCGGCGUGCUUAACCCCUGCAAGUCGAACGGAAAGGCCCUGCUUUUGUGGGGUGCUCGAGUGGCGAACGGGUGAGUAACACGUGAGUAACCUGCCCUUUACUUUGGGAUAACUUCAGGAAACUGGGGCUAAUACCGGAUAGGAGCUCCUGCUGCAUGGUGGGGGUUGGAAAGUUUCGGCGGUUGGUGAUGGACUCGCGGCUUAUCAGCUUGUUGGUGGGGUAGUGGCUUACCAAGGCUUUGACGGGUAGCCGGCCUGAGAGGGUGACCGGCCACAUUGGUACUGAGAGACGGCCCAGACUCCUACGGGAGGCAGCAGUGGGGAAUAUUGCACAAUGGGCGGAAGCCUGAUGCAGCAACGCCGCGUGCGGGAUGACGUCCUUCGGGUUGUAAACCGCUUUCGCCUGUGACGAAGCGUGAGUGACGGUAAUGGGUAAAGAAGCACCGGCUAACUACGUG
rnacentral:rRNA from 1 species